GGAUUAGAUACCCUGGUAGUCCAUGCCGUAAACGGUGGGCGCUAGGUGUGGGGUCCUUCCACGGACUCCGUGCCGUAGCUAACGCAUUAAGCGCCCCGCCUGGGGAGUACGGCCGCAAGGCUAAAACUCAAAGGAAUUGACGGGGGCCCGCACAAGCGGCGGAGCAUGUGGAUUAAUUCGAUGCAACGCGAAGAACCUUACCUAGGCUUGACAUAUACAGGACGACGGCAGAGAUGUCGUUUCCCUUGUGGCUUGUAUACAGGUGGUGCAUGGUUGUCGUCAGCUCGUGCCG
rnacentral:rRNA from 1 species